UUACGGAUGCUGCUUCGCGCACACUCAUAUACAUGCUUCCCCCACUCUUAGCAGUAUACUCCCACCCUUUUAUUUAUCUUCCUCGGUUCGACGUCGCCCCUCCAUCAUCCUCUCUCCAGUCUUUCACGAGCAGUGCUCCGAGUCAUAUCGUUGACAGUGUUCGCCGUAGCAUACUAUCUUUCUCUCGUCACCUUUCUUUUUUCUUAUAUAUAUAUAUUUUUUUUUUUUAUUUUAGUCAUUCAAUAAACUUUUUUUGACAUUUGUCAAAAACAUCUUAUUACAACAAAUGCGUCAUAUUAUAUCGUGAAAGAGAAAAGUGUUUUUCAUCGUCUCCUUUCAACGAUGGAAUAUAUAAAUCCAUCGCAAUCGUCGAACGAUAGUUACAACUAGUGUUAUUUUGUUCUCCUGUGGAGUUUUAUUGUGAAUUAUUGAAUAAUGUCGUGUCGCGAGAUUUAAUAUAUGAUUUCUCUUUUUUUGGUGCGAUAAUAUGUCGAGGGUCGUACGAUGACCUAACGUCCGUCCAGCGACAGCCUCUUCGUAUCGGUCAUUGGACAGAUGUUGAAUCUGAAUGCUCAAAACUUGGUUUGCAACAUUGGCAGCAUGGUUUUCGGCAGCAAUAAAUUUCGAAUACGAAGAAAAGAGUCUGCCUGUUGUUUUUAAAUACACCGACGAGCGAAGGUUAUGACAGCGAUAAAUUUCGAAUACAAAUGUAUGUACGUACUAAGAUUUCUAUGAUCGUUGCAACUUGGAUAUGAAUAUUAAUUAUGAGUUUGUUAUGUGGUUUUAAAUAAACGACCUGUGGAUUAAAUUUAGUAAUAAUUAAAUUUUAUAUUUAUUAUGAGGUUGUCGCCAUGAUGUUUUCAGUAAAAAAAAAAAAAAAAGAAGAAGAUCAAUAAAAGCGUAAUAUACUCGUUAGAGAAAAAGAAAGAAAAUAUUUUGCAAAAAAUAUUUUUUUACUUUUAUCAAAAGUAUUGCGAAAACGUAUUUUAUGGUUUUUUUUUUUUUUUUUUUUUUUUUUUUUAUUGGUACGAAAGAAGUAAUGAUGUAAUACCGACAAAUCCAUUAUUCAUAAGUGCGUUCGACGGGUAAUUUACUAUAUAUCUCGAAGGUAUUAUCCUUAUCACGAACGAUUUCGUUAGGUUUGUGGUAGUGCACGUAAGCGGGUUUCAGGUUUCAAGCACUUGCUUGGCUUUGGCGUCGUGCCUAAUCGAUACUGUCCGAUUUCCCCUUGACGACCAUCCACCGUAACAGUCGAAAAUUUUACAGUCCAGUUCUAUCGAUUCCGAGACUCGUUGUUUUUCGCAUAAAAUCUUUUAACUUUGUACUUGAAUCGAUCGGAGGUCAACGAUCUCCCUGUCUUAAUUCAAUAAUAAUAUCUAAAGGAAAGAUUAUUUAUGAUCAUCGACAAUCGUCAUUUUUUACAUGUUCCAACAUGUGUAGUUACCUGGUUUAUAAAAUAUUUACAGAUAAACUAAGGAAUAUCCUGUUAUCGCAAGAGCAUCGCUCGAAAGAAUAUUUAUUGGAGAAUGUUUGUUUCUUUGUUUACACAAAAUAAACAGAUAAUUUUCGAUAUUAUCGGCUUAUCGGAAUCCAAUCGAUAAGCAAAAAUACUCUAGACGAUCGCUUGAGUAAGUUUCCAAUACACGUGAUUUUCUUUAAGUUUCAUUGAAAAAGAAGAGAAAAAAGAAAAAAGAAAAAGGAACAAAGAACAAUCUUGUAUGCUUUUAAGAAUUCUUUAUUUCUUCCAUUAACACAUAUACAUUAACACACCCAUGAACGAUAUAAAACACGUGUCGGUUUACCCGAUCUAAGAACUAACCGAGCGAGCAAAGCCUGGGAACUAUUCGCUCGACACGACCGCAAGAAA